GGUUGUGAGGGAAAUUUGGCUAUGGCAUCUUUGUAUUUAUCACUAGGGUUGAGUCUGUCAGUCUGGAUGGCUUCAAGGGUGCGCCCUUCUUCCGUCACCAUGCCAUGUGUGUCUCUCUAGGGCUGUUUGCUCCAUCAAAAAGAGCAGUGUGCAUCUAUAGGGGAGGGCACUCUUUGGUUAGUAAAACACGAGCAGUUGAGCUUUCUUGCUGGGAACUCCAAAAAGCUCUCAAGAGGGAUAUUCGGGCAUAUGUCUACUCGGGAUUUAUAGAGGGGCCAUAAGCUUGGACUGUGGGUCAGAAAGACUUGGUUGUGACCUUGGCUGGAAGAACAACCCCAAUGACGUCAUUUCUC
ensembl:misc_RNA Gm25717 predicted gene, 25717